AUUUCUGAGCAAAAAAAAUAAAGAAAUGCUUAAACAUUUUCAUUGUUGGUAUAAAUAGACUGUAAAAAAACACAAGGACAUAGGCUGAUUGUAAUUUAACACAUCUGUAUUCCCACGUUUUUCCCAGCCUAAUAGGACCCGACAUAUACCACCUGUAAGCAUGGUUUGAAAGAAUAAGGUUUUACUGGUCUUCUUGCAGUGAAUGUGCAGACUACAAAUGAAUUUGCAAUUAUUUCCAGCCCCGACCACCCGCACAAGAAAAAAAAAAGGUCCCUGCUGAAUCUAGUCGAUGAUCCCUGCUCUAGUUGUUCUAAUCAAGUAGAUGAUCCCUGCUCUAGUUGUUCUAAUCUAGUAGAUGAUCCCUGCUCUUAGUUGUUCUACUCUAGUAGAUGAUCCCUGCUCUAGUCUGC
rnacentral:lncRNA from 1 species